GGCGGGGUAGCUCAGCUGGUCAGAGCGGCGGAAUCAUAAUCCGUAGGUCGCCGGUUCGAUCCCGGCCCCCGCUACCG
rnacentral:tRNA from 1 species